UUUGCGUGACAUCGCGACGGCGGUCAUUGCUAGCAAUGACCACGGGAAUGCGGUGCGUGCCGAACACGCCGGCGACCGGACCUCCACCGGCCAUCGCCGGCGCGACGACAUCAAUCCGCAGCUGCCCCCGCAACUGUGAGCGGCGAGCCGGUUCCUUUGAAGCCACUGGCGUCCGUUGGGACGUCCGGGAAGGCGGAGCGCCGGCCAUGACCCGCAAGCCAGGAGACCGGCCGGCGCGUCGUCACUGUCC
rnacentral:ncRNA from 1 species